UAAAGUAUAAUAACUGGCUGCGGAACUCGUUUGUCACCGUAGGACGCCUGUCUCAGACGUCGUGGCAACGAGAUUAACGAACCUAACGAAAAGUUUUACGACAAAACUCUUUAUGUUUCUUCUCCCUUUGGUUCAUGCAUCAAAAAUGGAAGGGGACGCCACAGCUAUUUUUU
rnacentral:telomerase_RNA from 1 species